AACAACAGUGUUACCCCUUAUGUUUUUUUCAAUGACGACCGAUAAAAAACGACAGUGUUACCCCUUAUGUUUCAUCUGUCUAGUGAAGGGAUCCAUUCUCUCACACAUUCAUUUCGAAUGACUGGAUGGCUGUGAAUGAGUGCACUCAUUCACAGCCAUCCAGUCCCCCAGACAGAUACAAAUACAGAAUGUACAGAAGUAUAUUUAGAUUAAGAUUGCUCUUAUCAUCUUUAUUGUCAUACAUAUGACCUGUCACAUUGAUAUUAAAUCCUGUACGGUGAAUAAAAAUACUUAGAAGUGUAAAAUAAUAACUUUUCUGUACAGGGACUUCAACUGAGAAAUCGACGCUUCCAACUUCAUCAGACGAAACAGUAACGUCUGAACAAUUGGCUUCUCGAACAAAGGUUCAAACUUCAACAGCAGAUCCAUUGACUUCUGCAUCCAUAGUUCUGACUUCAACAGAUGAACCAUUGACUUCUGCAUCAACAGUUCCGACUUCAACAGAUGGACCAUUGACUUCUGCAUCCACAGUUCUAAAUUCAACAGAUGAAACAGUUACUUCUGAACCACUGACUUCCAACUACUGUUCAAACUUCAACAUCAGAGCCAUCGACUUCUGCAAUCACAGUUCUGACUUCAACAUCAGAGCUAUUGACUUCUGCAUCCACUAUUCUGACUUCAACAGCAGAUCCAUCGACUUCUGCAUCCACAUUUAUGACCUCAACGAAUGGACAUUUGAUUUCUGCAUCCACAGUUCUGACUUCAACAGAUGGAACAGUGACUUCGGACCCACUAACUUCUCAAAUUACGGUUCAAACUUCAACAGCAGAGCCAUCAACUUCUGCAUCCAUAGUUCUGAUUCAAACGGAUGUACCAAUGACUUCUGCAUCAACAGUUCUGACUUCAACAGAUGGAACAGUGACUUCUGCCUCUAGUUUUUCUUUCAUGACGACCAAUAAAAAAUGACAGCAUCACCCCUUGUGAUUUCUUUGAGAACUAACGACACUAAUGACAUUUUAUCAAUUAUUUAUUUUAUAAUUGAUAAAAAACGACAGUGUUACCACUUAUGUUUUAAUUGAUAAAACACGACAGUGUUACCCCUUAAGUUUUUUUACGAAGAAUAGUGUUACACCUUAUGUUUUUUUUCACGACGAACAAUAAAAAACGAGAGUGUUACCCCUUGUGUUUCCUUUGAGAACUAACGACAGUCUUACCCCUUUAUUUCAUAAUUGAUCAAAAGCGACAGUUGCCCCUUAUGUUUUAUUUGAUAAAACACGACAGUGUUACCCCUUAUGUUUUAUUUUAAUAAAAUAAAAUAACAUUACCCUUAUGAUUUUUUCAUGACGACCGAUAAACAACAGUGUUACCCCUUAUGUUUUUAAGAUAAAAAAAACACCAGUGUUGUCUGUUAAGUUUGAAUUGAUAGAAAAUUACAGAGUUAGCCCUUAUGCCUUAUGUUUUUUUCAUGACGACCAAUAAAAACGACAGUGUUAGCCUUUUAGUUUUUUUUCAUUACGCCCGAUAAAAAAGAAGACAGCGUUACCCCUUAUGUUUUUAAGCAAAAAAAACACCACUCUUGCCCCAUCAUUGGUUCGACCCGUGGUUAAAUUCAUCAGACUUAUCCGUUUCACCGGUUCGUCAGGGCCCAUGAGAUUGGUCUCGAUAAUGUUGUGUCCUUUCCUCUGUUUCUACGGUUGUUGAAUUCGGCGGAACAGCUUUACAUCUGAAUAGUAAUAUGAGAAAAGAAGUACUUCUGUCCCGCCUGGGUGUUCUGUCAUGCCAGGGUGUUGUUCUCCGGGGCUGCAGUUGGAUACUAUUGGAUUUCUG